rnacentral:misc_RNA from 2 species
AACGCACAUUGCGCCCCCUGGUAUUCCGGGGGGCAUGCCUGUCCGAGCGUCAUUGCUGCCCUCAAGCCCGGCUUGUGUGUUGGGUCUCGUCCCCCUUCCCGGGGGGACGGGCCCGAAAGGCAGCGGCGGCACCGCGUCCGGUCCUCGAGCGUAUGGGGCUUUGUCACCCGCUCUGUAGGCCCGGCCGGCGCUUGCCGAUCAACCAAAACUUUUUUCCAGGUUGACCUCGGAUCAGGUAGGGAUACCCGCUGAACUUAA